rnacentral:lncRNA from 1 species
GGGCAGAGGUGGGCCCUUGGUGCGACUCCUAAACAACCUCUUCAGCACAACCUGGUUGAAUGUGGAGUUGGUUCGUCUGGCCAGAAACCUGUACAGCUUGACCAACAGCCUCAGCCGUGUAAGAUGUGCCUGCUUCCCCCUCGCCUUCUGGCAUGACUGUAAGUUUGCUGAAGCCUCCCAGCCAUGCAUCCUGUAAAGCCUGUGGAACUGUGAAAGUCAGAAUAUGGAGGAAACAAGAAGUGUCAACUACCUGAAGAAAACUUAACAGGAUAUAACAGCUGCUCACUGCUAAUCUUCCUAUUAUGGCCAAAUAGAAGCUGAGGAUAUCAUUCUACUUUGUGUGCCUCAGGGUUUGAAAGAAGAAAAUGAUUCCAAGGGUAAAGACAGUACAACACGAAACUUGGAGCUCAAAUCAAAUCCUGAUAUAACUUGAUCAGAACCUUCUCUACAACUAUUGUUCAUUCUGCUUGUGCAAAAAUUUUAAUUCCCUGGUAAAUGGAAGAAUGGGGAGGGAGAAGAAUCAUUACAAGGAAUCAAUAUCCCAGAAUCUUAAGACAAAAACUUCAUCUGGAACCUAGAAUAAAAUUAAAGAUCCCUGAGGCUUGAGGAAAUACUAGUGACAGAUAUAUGUGCUGCUUUAUGUGGGAGUUAUUACCAUUCUAAGGGAGCCCAUGUGUUCACAGUUCGGGUCCCUCCCUCAGGAGGUGACUUAAGCAGCAUGUACUGGAAUGAAAAUAAAUUUUUCUUGUUGGACAUACUAACCAGGGAGUAUUGCAGGAUCUGAACAAUCCUUCCAUCUUAAUAUGGAAAAGUAAUUAUUUCACUUUUUUUCUUUUUUGAAUUAGUAAUGUUUACAGGUCAAGUCUUCUUUCCCUCCUCUGGAAAGAAAGCUACCAACAACAUUUAGUUAAUUUGGAUUUGGAGUCUAAUGGGUCUUUGAUGUCUACUGUAGAAGAAUAAAAAUGAACUGGGUUUGUUGAGUAGAUCAAGAAGGAAAAAAAACUAAAGAAGAGAGAAACAGAAUUUCCUAACUUGAAGAAGACAUGUGAAGAUUGGAAGUGAGGGAGCCGAGAGAACAGACCUAGCAAAAGACUGGUCAGCUGGCUGCACUUCAAAGAUGGGCGAGUCUCCUAAGAAAAAUGGCUACUUUCGGUAAAACCUGGCCAGAAGAAGCCAUGGAAAAGACUCUCUUGUUCAAUAAUUGCAGAGAACUAGUAACAACAUGCUGGACCUAAAUGAAUCCUUUUCAUGGGGAAAAUGAGUAUCACAGUGGUAAUUUUUAUGGGCAACUGACAACUUGCCAUAACCAUUUCCUCCACCAUUUCAUUUUAAGAAAGAUCCCCAAUCCUGUGGUGCAACUGUAAGGGAAGCCCAAGAAUCCCUGAAGUGAAAUUUUCAGUCAGUGUCCAGGAUUGUGCAGCUAGACUUUGCUUUAUUAAUACAUAAAGAAAUGGAAUAUUUCUUCUUGACUUCGUGUAUUGAUACUUCUUCACCUACUCUCUCACUCUUCACACUUUUUUAUGUUCUACAUUUUCUAGUAGGUGCAUGUAUCAUUUUGGGAGAUCAAAAACAGUUCUAUGAGCAAAAUCCAAUUGUACAAAUUACACGUGAUACCCUUAUCUCUUUGUUUUCAAUGAACACAAGCUAUUCGUGACUGGAAUUUUAGAAUGACAACAUGUAGGUAAAAUUGACGUUACCAACGCCAAUAUAUAUUUUCUCAGUGAUUCAUGGCAGUAUGUAGAACUCACUGGAAAUAAAACUAUAGCUAAUUAAUCCUAUUUUGAAAUAUAGAAAGUUUGAAGCAAUGAACACAUAGUAUUUCUCAUACACACUGUCUUUCUUAAUUGUAUGCUCCUCUAUAGCUUUGACAUGGGUAUUACUUUCCUCGACAUUAGUGUUAUUGUAUUAUUCAGCUUAAGGGAUUAAUAAGCACUACAUUUUUGAGAGGUUAACAUUUGGCAAACAAUAGAAAUAAGAGAUUUCAAAUGAAAAUGAAAACAGAAAGAAAUACACAAUAACAUAUUUACUCAGAGAAAAAAAAUGCUUUGAUGGCAAACAUUUCAGUUUUUCACUUUAUGAUUUACAUAUGAUCUUUAGAAAGCAAUCGGCCAGACGCGGUGGCUCAUGCCUGUAAUCCCUGCAAUUUGGGAGGCCAAGGUGGGUGGAUCACUUGAGGUCAGGAGUUCGAGACUAGGCUGGCCAACAUGGUGAAACCCCAUCUCUACUAAAAAUACAAAAAAUUAGCUGAGCAUGUUGGUGGGCACCUGUAGUCCCAGCUACUCAGGAGACUGUGGCAGGAGAAUCACUUGAACCCAGGAGGCGGAGGUUGCAGUGAGCCGAAGUCACACCACUGCACUCCAGCCUGGGCAACAGAGUGAGACUC